rnacentral:rRNA from 1 species
AGAGUUUGAUCCUGGCUCAGAACGAACGCUGGUAGCGUGGAUUAGGCAUGCAAGUCGAACGGGAUCAGGAGGAUAGCAAUAUUCUUCUGUGAGAGUGGCGGAUUGGGGAGGAACACGUGAACAACCUGCCCUUGAGUUCGGGAAAACCAUUGGAAACGAUGGCUAAUACCGGAUGUGGCGUCGGUGGACAUCCACUGAACGCUAAAGGGGGCCGCAAGGCUCCCGCUCAUCGAGGGGUUCGCGCACCAUCAGCUUGUUGGCGGGGUAACGGCCCACCAAGGCCUACGGUUAGCUGGUCUGAGAGGAUGACCAGCCCCACUGGGACUGAGAUACUGCCCAGACUCCUACGGGAGGCUGCAGUCGAGGAUCAUUUGCAAUGGGCGAAAGCCUGACAAUGCGACGCUGCGUGGAGGAUGAAGGCCUUCGGGUUGUAAACUCCUGUCAUAGGGGAACAGGCGAUCCGACCUAAUACGUCGGUGAGUUGAGUGUACCCUAAGAGGAAUUGGCGGCUAACUCUGUGCCAGCAGCCGCGGUAAUACAGAGGCCAAGAGCGUUGUUCGGAUUUACUGGGCGUAAAGGGCGCGUAGGCGGUCUUGCGUGUCAAGUGUGAAAUCUCCGGGCUCAACCCGGAAAGUGCGCUUGAAACUACAGGACUCGAGUCUGGGAGAGGGAAUCGGAAUACAGGGUGUAGCGGUGAAAUGCGUUGAUAUCCUGUAGAACACCGGAGGCGAAGGCGGAUUCCUUGAACAGUACUGACGCUGAGGCGCGAAAGUCGGGGGAGCAAACAGGAUUAGAUACCCUGGUAGUCCAGACACUUAAACGGUGCACACUCGGGGUGGGGGCCAUUUUCACCGGUCCCCGGCCCUUUAGCUAACGCGUUAAAGUGUGCCGCCUGGGGGAGUACGGCCCGCAAGGGCUAAAACUCAAAGAAAUUGACGGGGGCCCGCACAAGCAGAGGAGCAAUGUGGCUUAAUUCGAUGCAACGCGAAGAACCUUACCUGGAUUUGACAUCGUCGGCAAUGCCCUAUGAAAGUAGGGCGGAGGUUAUCCGAUAGACAGGUGCUGCAUGGCUGUCGUCAGUUCGUGCCGUGAGGUGUUUGGUUAAGUCCACCAACGAACGCAACCCCUUUGGUAUGUUGCCAUCAGGUAAUGCUGGGAACUCGUACCAUACUGCCUGUUUACGCAGGAGGAAGGUGGGGAUGACGUCAAGUCAGUAUGGCCCUUACAUCCAGGGCUGCACACGUGCUACAAUGGCCGGUACAGAGGGACGCAAGACCGCAAGGUGGAGCCAAUCCCAGAGAGCCGGCCUCAGUUCAGAUCGGGGUCUGCAACCCGACCCCGUGAAGUCGGAUUUGCUAGUAACGGCGUAUCAGCUACGACGCCGUGAAUGAAAGGCCGGGCCUUGCACUCACCGCCCGUCA